rnacentral:rRNA from 1 species
ACGAACGCUGGCGGCGUGCUUAACACAUGCAAGUCGAACGGAAAGGCCCUGCUUUUGUGGGGUGCUCGAGUGGCGAACGGGUGAGUAACACGUGAGUAACCUGCCCUUGACUUUGGGAUAACUUCAGGAAACUGGGGCUAAUACCGGAUAGGAGCUCCUGCUGCAUGGUGGGGGUUGGAAAGUUUCGGCGGUUGGGGAUGGACUCGCGGCUUAUCAGCUUGUUGGUGGGGUAGUGGCUUACCAAGGCUUUGACGGGUAGCCGGCCUGAGAGGGUGACCGGCCACAUUGGGACUGAGAUACGGCCCAGACUCCUACGGGAGGCAGCAGUGGGGAAUAGUGCACAAUGGGCGGAAGCCUGAUGCAGCAACGCCGCGUGCGGGAUGACGGCCUUCGGGUUGUAAACCGCUUUCGCCUGUGACGAAGCGUGAGUGACGGUAAUGGGUAAAGAAGCACCGGCUAACUACGU